rnacentral:rRNA from 1 species
UACGGAGGGUCCAAGCGUUAUCCGGAAUCAUUGGGUUUAAAGGGUUCGUAGGCGGUUUUGUAAGUCAGUGGUGAAAGCCCAUCGCUCAACGGUGGAACGGCCAUUGAUACUGCAAGACUUGAAUUAUUAGGAAGUAACUAGAAUAUGUAGUGUAGCGGUGAAAUGCUUAGAGAUUACAUGGAAUACCAAUUGCGAAGGCAGGUUACUACCAAUGGAUUGACGCUGAUGGACGAAAGCGUGGGUAGCGAACAGG